rnacentral:rRNA from 1 species
GAUCCUGGCUCAGAAUCAACGCUGGCGGCGUGCCUAACACAUGCAAGUCGCACGAGAAAGCGGGCUUCGGCCUGCAAGUACAGUGGCGCACGGGUGAGUAACACGUGAAUCAUUUACCUCCGAGUGGGGAAUAACCUAGGGAAACCUGGGCUAAUACCGCAUAACACUUACGAGUCAAAGCAGCAAUGCGCUUGGAGAGGAGUUCGCGGCAGAUUAGCUAGUUGGUGGGGUAAUGGCCCACCAAGGCGAUGAUCUGUAUCCGGCCUGAGAGGGCGCACGGACACACUGGAACUGAAACACGGUCCAGACUCCUACGGGAGGCAGCAGUGGGGAAUUUUGCGCAAUGGGGGAAACCCUGACGCAGCAACGCCGCGUGGAGGAUGAAAUCCCUUGGGAUGUAAACUCCUUUCGAUCGGGACGAUUAUGACGGUACCGGAAGAAGAAGCCCCGGCUAACUUCGUGCCAGCAGCCGCGGUAAUACGAGGGGGGCAAGCGUUGUUCGGAAUUAUUGGGCGUAAAGGGCGCGUAGGCGGUUUGACAAGUCUGAUGUGAAAUCUCUGGGCUCAACCCAGAGUCUGCAUUAGAAACUGUCGGGCUUGAGUAUGGGAGAGGUGAGUGGAAUUUCCGGUGUAGCGGUGAAAUGCGUAGAUAUCGGAAGGAACACCUGUGGCGAAAGCGGCUCACUGGACC